rnacentral:rRNA from 1 species
AGAGUUUGAUCCUGGCUCAGGAUUAACGCUGGCGGCAUGCCUAAUACAUGCAAGUCGAACGAAAGUAGCAAUACUUUAGUGGCGAACGGGUGAGUAACACGUAGGAAACCUACCUCAAAGACGAGGAUAACUACUGGAAACGGUAGCUAAAACUGGAUAGGAUAUACGAAGGCAUCUUUGUAUAUUUAAAAGUCCUUCUGGGAAUGCUAUGAGAUGGUCCUGCGGCGCAUUAGCUAGUUGGUGAGGUAAAGGCCCACCAAGGCGACGAUGCGUAGCUGUGCUGAGAGGCAAAACAGCCACACUGGGACUGAGACACGGCCCAGACUCCUACGGGAGGCAGCAGUAGGGAAUUUUCGGCAAUGGGCGAAAGCCUGACCGAGCAAUGCCGCGUGAAUGAAGAAAUUCUUCGGAAUGUAAAAUUCUGUGGUGAGGGAAGAAAAGUAUUAGAAGGAAAUGGCUAAUAUUUGACGGUACCUUACUAGAAAGCCCCGGCUAACUAUGUGCCAGCAGCCGCGGUAAUACAUAGGGGGCAAGCGUUAUCCGGAAUUAUUGGGCGUAAAGCGUGCGUAGGCGGCCACUUAAGUCUGUCGUGAAAGCCCACAGCUUAACUGUGGAGGGUCGAUGGAAACUGGGAGGCUUGAAUCUAGGAGAGGUAAGUGGAAUUCCAUGUGUAGCGGUAAAAUGCUUAGAUAUAUGGAGGAACACCAGUGGCGAAGGCGGCUUACUGGUCUAGAAUUGACGCUGAUGCACGAAAGCGUGGGUAGCAAACAGGAUUAGAUACCCUGGUAGUCCACGCCGUAAACGAUGAGCACUAAGUGUCGGACGUAAGUUCGGUGCUGAAGUUAACGCAUUAAGUGCUCCGCCUGGGGAGUACGGUCGCAAGACUGAAACUCAAAGGAAUUGACGGGGACUCGCACAAGCGGUGGAGCAUGUGGUUUAAUUCGACGCAACGCGAAAAACCUUACCAGGCCUUGACAUACCGAUGACGUCUUUAGAGAUAGAGAGUUACCUUCGGGUACAUU